rnacentral:rRNA from 1 species
UGCCAGCCGCCGCGGUAAUACGAACCGGACAAACGUUAUUCGGAAUUACUGGGCUUAAAGAGUACGUAGGCGGCCAUGUAGGUCAGGUGUGAAAUCCCUCGGCUCAACCGAGGAACUGCGCUUGAAACCACAUGGCUUGAGGGAGAUAGAGGUUAGCGGAACUGAUGGUGGAGCGGUGAAAUGUGUUGAUAUCAUCAGGAACACCAGUGGCGAAGGCGGCUAACUGGGUCUCUUCUGACGCUGAGGUACGAAAGCUAGGGGAGCGAACGGGAUUAGAUA